rnacentral:rRNA from 1 species
CGUGUAGGCGGCAUGGCAAGUCAGGUGUGAAAGCCCUCGGCUCAACUGAGGAAGUGCACUUGAAACUGCUAAGCUAGAGUACGGGAGAGGGUUGUAGAAUUCCCGGUGUAGAGGUGAAAUUCGUAGAUAUCGGGAGGAAUACCGGUGGCGAAGGCGGCAACCUGGACCGAUACUGACGCUGAGACGCGAAAGCGUGGGGAGCAAACAGGAUUAGAUACCCUGGUAGUCC